GACGAACGCUGGCGGCGUGCUUAACACAUGCAAGUCGAACGGAAAGGCCCUGCUUUUGUGGGGUGCUCGAGUGGCGAACGGGUGAGUAACACGUGAGUAACCUGCCCUUGACUUUGGGAUAACUUCAGGAAACUGGGGCUAAUAUCGGAUAGGAGCUCCUGCUGCAUGGUGGGGGUUGGAAAGUUUCGGCGGUUGGGGAUGGACUCGCGGCUUAUCAGCUUGUUGGUGGGGUAGUGGCUUACCAAGGCUUUGACGGGUAGCCGGCCUGAGAGGGUGACCGGCCACAUUGGGACUGAGAUACGGCCCAGACUCCUACGGGAGGCAGCAGUGGGGAAUAUUGCACAGUGGGCGGAAGCCUGAUGCAGCAACGCCGCGUGCGGGAUGACGGCCUUCGGGGUGUAAACCGCUUUCGCCUGUGACGAAGCGUGAGUGACGGUAAUGGGUAAAGAAGCACCGGCUAACUACGUG
rnacentral:rRNA from 1 species